AUGAUUGAAAAGUAUAAGGCACGGCUUGUGGCCAAGGGUUAUACCCAGAAAGAAGUUGAAGACUUCUUUGAUAGUUACUCACCCGUGGCUAGACUGUCCACAAUUCGGGUGCUACUAUCACUUGCUGCCUCACAUGGUCUUCUCGUUCAUCAAAUGGACGUUAAGACAACUUUCCUCAAUGGAGAGUUGAAGGAGGAAAUUUACAUGGAUCAGCCAGAUGGUUUUGUAGUACCUGGUUAG
rnacentral:rRNA from 1 species